rnacentral:rRNA from 1 species
UACAGAGGUGGCAAGCGUUGUUCGGAAUUAUUGGGCGUAAAGGGCGCGUAGGCGGCUUGGCAAGUGGAUGGUGAAAUCCCUCGGCUUAACCGAGGAACUGCCGUCCAAACUGCUUCGCUUGAGACCGGGAGAGGUGAGUGGAAUUCCCAGUGUAGCGGUGAAAAUGCGUAGAUAUUGGGAGGAACACCAGUGGCGAAGGCGGCUCACUGGACCGGUACUGACGCUGAUGCGCGAAAGCAUGGGGGAGCGAACAGG